GAUGAACGCUGGCGGCAUGCUUUACACAUGCAAGUCGGACGGGAAGUCGUGUUUCCAGUGGCGUGCGGGUGAGUAACGCGUAGGAACCUGCCCUUGGGAGGGGAACAACAGCUGGAAACGGCUGCUAAUAACCCGUAGGCUGAGGAGCGAAAGGAGGAAUCCGCCCAAGGAGGGGCUGGCGUCUGAUUAGCUAGGUGGGUAGGUAAUAGCUUACCAAGGCCGUGAGCAGUAGCUGGUCGGAGAGGAUGGUCAGCCACACUGCGACUGAGACAAGGCCCAGACUACGACGGGAGGCAGCAGUGGAGAAUUCUCCGCAAUGGGCGAAAGGCUGCAGGAGCAAUGCGGCGGGGAGGAAGACCGCCUACGGGUCAUGAACUUCUUUUCGUGGAGAAGAAAAAAUGACGGUAUCUGGAGAAUAAGCAUCGGCUAACUCUGUG
rnacentral:rRNA from 1 species